rnacentral:lncRNA from 1 species
AUGAUGGAUCUCAAACACAGUCAAUCUGUGAAGCUGAAUGAUGGGCACUUCAUGCCGGCACUUGGAUUUGGUACUUUUGCUCCUAAACCAAUUUUUCAGUUUGAAUUGACUGCAGAGGACAUGAAAGUAAUUGAUGGCCUCGACAGGAAUUUACGAUAUUCUAAAUUUCUAUUUGCUGUUAAUCACCCUAAUUAUCCAUUUUCUGAAGAAUACUGAUCAUGAAAUAUUGAAUGUUAUUUCCAGAGUGUUCUUCAAGGUGGUUGUGGAGAAAAUUUGUCUUUGGUAGACGUGACUAAGAAGCAGUGUCUGUAUUCUCAGGUGGCUUUCCUUGUUGUACAAUGAAGUAAUAAAGAUUUCAACAUAAAGAAGCUUCUUUUCUCU